rnacentral:tRNA from 1 species
CGCGGGGUGGAGCAGCCUGGUAGCUCGUCGGGCUCAUAACCCGAAGNNCGUCGGUUCAAAUCCGGCCCCCGCAACCA